AUGCACACACUCCACACCACACAUACAUGCUCUUUCACACACACACUCAUAUGCACCAUACACAUUCUCUCACACACAGUCCCCCCACAUGCACUCACACUCCACACCACCCACACUCACCACACACACACUCCCACACAUAUCACACACACUCACUCCCACACACAUCAUAUAAUCCUAUCACACAUUCUCUCACAUACAUACUCCCACACACACCACACACACUCACAACACUCUGCAUCACACAUAUAUUUUCACACACCUACUCAUAUACACCAUACUUAUUCUCUCAUGCAUACUCCCCCCACACGCACACUCACACUCCACCACACACACAUUACCACACACCACACACCACACACAUUCUCACACACACUCCCCCCACGCACAAGUGACACUCCACACAACACACACUCACUACACACUGUCACACACAUUCACACACACGACACACACUCUCACAUGCAUACUCCCACAUGCACUCCCACAUACUCCACACCACACAUACAUACUCUUUCACACACACUGCCCCCCACACACAUACUCACACACUCCACACCACAUACACUCACCACACACUCUGACACACACACUCACACACAACUCAGAGUUUCUGUGCAGGGGCAAACUUUCUUGACAUCCAUUCCUCUGUCACCUCCUGUCUCCCAGUGCCUCUGGACCCCAAGCACCUCCAUUCCACUGAAGUCACCUCACCUCCUUGCCAUCAUCCUUUUUUGUUUUCUCCUCAGGCCUUGCACAUCUGAAGCUCGAUCUGUGCUGUUCACAGGGGUGGCACAUUGCCAGCAGGGGCUGUUGGCCGGUUGCCGAGAGGCUGCCACAGCGGCCUUUACUCUGACAAAUCCCCUCCUGGGGCCCCGGGUCGAGCCACAGCCUGGCAGCUGGUGGAGAGAAGAGCUGAGUCUCAGCUGCGAGCUUGGACUACUCAAUUUCUCAGGAGGCCAGCAUACACACCAGAUGGCACGUUUCAAUGCAUUUAGCAGGGGGAGAACAGUUUUGUUUAGGAAAACAUCUCGAUCAGCCACUUUGGUUGAAGAAGGGGAGGGCGGUGCCAGGGACAUGGUUGAAAGGACAUGGUGA
rnacentral:lncRNA from 1 species